GAGGGUGUAGCUCGGUGGUAGAGCGCAUGUUUAGCAUGCACGAGGUCCUGGGUUCAAUCCCUGGUACCUCCU
rnacentral:tRNA from 1 species